GUCCCAUUGGUGAAAUUGGCUAACACACUCGACUUUCUAUCGAGGAUUUGCAGGUUCGAAUCCUGUAUGGGAUGCCA
rnacentral:tRNA from 3 species